CAAGAUGGCAUCUUACCUAUCCCGGUAC
rnacentral:piRNA from 1 species